rnacentral:rRNA from 1 species
CCAGACUCCUACGGGAGGCAGCAGUGGGGAAUAUUGCACAAUGGGGGAAACCCUGAUGCAGCGACGCCGCGUGAAGGACGAAGUAUUUCGGUACGUAAACUUCUAUCAGCAGGGAAGAAAAUGACGGUACCUGACCAAGAAGCCCCGGCUAACUACGUGCCAGCAGCCGCGGUAAUACGUAGGGGGCAAGCGUUAUCCGGAUUUACUGGGUGUAAAGGGAGCGUAGACGGCCAUGCAAGUCUGAUGUGAAAACCCGGGGCUCAACCCCGGGACUGCAUUGGAAACUGUGCGGCUGGAGUGUCGGAGAGGCAAGUGGAAUUCCUAGUGUAGCGGUGAAAUGCGUAGAUAUUAGGAGGAACACCAGUGGCGAAGGCGGCUUACUGGACUGUAACUGACGUUGAGGCUCGAAAGCGUGGGGAGCAAACAGGAUUAGAUACCCCCGUA